GACGAACGCUGGCGGCGUGCUUAACACAUGCAAGUCGAACGGAAAGGCCCUUCGGGGUACUCGAGUGGCGAACGGGUGAGUAACACGUGGGUGAUCUGCCCUGCACUUUGGGAUAAGCCUGGGAAACUGGGUCUAAUACCGAAUAGGACCACGCGCUUCAUGGUGUGUGGUGGAAAGCUUUUGCGGUGUGGGAUGGGCCCGCGGCCUAUCAGCUUGUUGGUGUGGUAAUGGCCUACCAAGGCGACGACGGGUAGCCGGCCCGAGAGGGGGACCGGCCAGACUGGGACUGAGAUACGGCACAGACUACUGCGGGAGGCAGCGGUGGGGAAUAUUGCACAAUGGGCGCAAGCCUGAUGCAGCGACGCCGCGUGAGGGAUGACGGCCUUCGGGUUGUAAACCUCUUUCGCCAGGGACGAAGCGCAAGUGACGGUACCUGGAGAAGAAGGACCGGCCAACUACGUGCCAGCAGCCGCGGUAACAC
rnacentral:rRNA from 1 species